GGACUUAUGGUGUAGGUGGUUAGCACGGGAGACUCUGAAUCUCCAGACUGUGGUUCGAGUCCACAUAGGUCCU